AAAACCCUAGAAACUCGUUCAUUUCAAAAUGCCACACAACAACGUAGUCUUCCUUGUUGUGGCCUACCCACAAACGACCUCUCAGAUCUUCGGCAGUAUGAGGAUCCCCAGGAGAUAAAUCACUGAAUAAUAUAUUCCUGACUUUAUUCUCUCCUACUCGCUCAAUCUUAUAAAGGCUACCUUUCAAUGAUUCUAGUGGUGGAAGAUCGAUCCUACCCUCGCUAAAGACAUCUAUAAUAUAGAGUUUCAAUUGAGAAUCUACCACGAGAAACCACUUACCCGAGCUUCCAAGGAAUCGAUACCCUGAAAGGUCACUCUUCGUCUAGUAAACCCUAUCAUCAGCUGGGUUGUACACACUAUUACUACGACAACCAUCCUUUUCUACAGACAGCAUCAGCAAUGGCGAUCCGGCUCUUGGCCGCUGAAUCAAAGUCGAACGCAUGGCCUUUGCAGACUCAAGAUCUGUACAACUCAAUCGUCGUUUGAGCGUAGUUGAUCUCUGCAUUAUCAGGACGGUUGAGAAAAGAAUGAGAAGGCGUUAAGUUGCACAUACUGUACUGUGUAAAUCUAUAGGUACCAAGCCCAAUAACAGCAAAUGAAAAAUAUUCUAACGACUCUACGGCCCAAUAUUACAUCACCAUGGAUCAUUUUUGGUUAUCAUUUUCAUGAAACCUUUUGAAACUGAUUCAAUUAUCCACUCACCCACCAUAGUAAAUACGGGAAUAUCCAUUACACACAUGCAUCAUAAAUUCAGCAGAACCCCAUUAAAUGCAAAUGAAAGCAUGAUUAUAUCUACAAAAAACAAAAAUAAUUCCCAACUACACACUUAUAUAUAUAAAUCUAUCCUCAUUUAGCAUUUUCAACUAAAAAAAUUAGAAAUAAAAAUAUUCUGGGUUUUUUUUAUAGAAACAAUGUUGAUUUCGAACACAAUCAAGACCCUAGUGUGUUAUAACAAAAAACUUCUUAACCAAUUUCAUUACUUACACGAUCAAUGCUUGUCUUGGCUCCAAGCUUUGUAAAUCAAGAAGAUCAAAACUUCUCCAGCAUCACAUUCGUUCAGACUAAUUUGUUUGUUUGAUGGAUCAUGUUUAUCUCUUACAACUAUUCACACAUAUAAACUAAUAUUAGAAAAAGUAAUGAUGCCUUUUGCAUUAAUUGUGACAUGAGUCAUGUCUAAACUUUUUGGGCAUUAAAUACUGAUGUCUCAUUGUUUUUUAAUGUUAUUAAUCCCUAUUUUACUGUGCAGCCGCAAAAAUUAAAACGAAAAUAUAUUGCCUAACCGAAACAGUGUACGUAACUAAACCGCAUAACUAAACCGUACAGUGAACAGUACAUCAUUACGCUGGCAGGAGUAAAAUGGUCAGAAUUUGGCUAAAGUGUCAAAAUUUGAGAACUAAUUCUCACUUUGCCAAACCAUGAAAAUAAAAGUUGGUCUUCUGCCCUGCCAUGCAAUUUACCCAAUUUAGAAAGCGUUAUAUAUAGGUCCCAAGCCCAAUAACAGCGGUAGAAAAAUAUUCUAACGGGUCUAUGGCCCAAUAACACAUCAUCAUGGAUCAUUUGGUUAUCAUUUUUAUGAAACCUUUAGCUUCUGAAACUGAUUCAAAACUCUUUUAGAUUUUGAUAAAUGUCUAUGUAUAUUUUUAUAAAGAUUUUAAAUACUGAAAAGACGAAGAGGGAUUGGUGAACUCGUGGUUAUUCAAGAUUCUCUUGAUAUUUUCACGUUGAAUUUUGCAAAAGAUACUCUCAUUGUACAAGCUUCAUUGGUGCAUUGGCAUAUCUCAGAUCAGUAAAUAGUGAUAGUGUUGAUGGGUUCUCAAGAAGGUAUAUGAAGUUAGGAAGAAGAUAUGGAAUUCUUUUGAAUUGAAAGGAAACUAUUCUUACCAAAAAGCCACAUGCUACUGUGUUUCAGAAUUACGUUCAAUUGUGUUUGAUUGACUCAAAGUAGACAGUUUGCGAUGUUCGUUUCAUGACUGCAUAGUGUUUAGUGUGACAAUCGGCUUUGUUUCCACAUUACUACUUUUAUUCUCAUGUUGGUUUUUUUUUUCCUGCACGGUUUAAAGAAUUGCUAUUAUUAUUAUCAACUAGUUGAAUUAGAAAGAAGAACUGAUGAUGUGUAUACGACCGGUCAAUGAACUCCUCAUUGUGUGUAUAGUUACGCCACUUAAUUAGCUUUUUGGCAAUUAUGCACUCGAUAGGAUAGUGACCUUUACAUGUGCACUAAAACAUAAUCAAAGUCAGAACGUUAACAAAGCUAAACUGACAUCCCAACAACAUCGUUGUACACUCUAACAUCAAAUGCCUUAAUAGUUACACUUAUGUCGGACACUAAGUUUAUGUUAUCAUCAACGUACAAGUGAACUAUGAACUUUUUAUAUUUCGGAAUUUAUUUAUAAGAUGACAGUAAACAGAGCAAGGCCGAGGGAGAAACCAUGAGGAAGGCAAGAAUCAAGAGGGAAGAAACCAUUGAGCAUCCUUGACGUUAAAGUUGGAGAGAGUGUGGCGGUGUUUGAUGGUCUUUGUUGUAAGAUUGAAGACACAGAUGUCGGGCGUGAAGGAUUCCUGUGACGGAUACGAUCACCACGGGUGAAAUAGAUGGAGUUAGGCUCAAUACCACGGGUAUGGUCAGCAGGCACGGUGGUUCCCAAAUCAAGAAAGAGGGCCUCAUCACCUAGAGAAUGUACCUCAAGAAGCCGGGUUAGGUAGGUAUUCGGGUCAAGAUCUUUAGGAUCUCUCUUGUACAGGUGGAACAUCCUAUCCCUUUGAGAGUUACCUAACUCGUAAGAAUAGACAACCAAAACCUGACCUGAUCUUGUAACAGCAAUGCUUUCACUAGAUGAGGUGAUCUUAUCUAUGUUGACUCUUACUUGUUCAUCCAUACUCAGACUUGGCAUCCACAUUGGAAGCUUAUGGUUCUCGGACACAUCCUUGAUACCAUCUUCACCAUGUCCAGACAAAUCCAAGUGUCGAACGAAGUCACGGAUGGCAAGGACGUAAAGACUGUAACCUUUAAGUACCAUAUCUUUUACACCGCGUAACUCCCUGCGAACAUCGGUCCUUGUUAAGAUCUCGCGGUAAUGAUCAUCCCCUUUCUUGCAAAACCCUAGAAAGUCGUUCAUUUCAAAAUGCCACACAACAACGUAGUCUUCCUUGUUGUGGCCUAUCCACAAACGACCUCUCAGAUCUUCGGCAGUAUGAGGAUCCCCAGGAGAUAAAUCACUGAAUAAUAUAUUCCUGACUUUAUUCUCUCCUACUCGCUCAAUUUUAUAAAGGCUACCUUUCAAUGAUUCUAGUGGUGGAAGAUCGAUCCUACCCUCGCUAAAGACAUCUAUAAUAUAGAGUUUCAAUUGAGAAUCUACCACGAGAAACCAUUUACCCGAGCUUCCAAGGAAUCGAUACCCUGAAAGGUCACUCUUCGUCUAGUAAACCCUAUCAUCAGCUGGGUUGUACACACUAUUACUACGACAACCAUCCUUUUCUACAGACAGCAUCAGCAAUGGCGAUCCGGCUCUUGGCCGCUGAAUCAAAGUCGAACGCAUGGCCUUUGCAGACUCAAGAUCUGUACAACUCAAUCGUCGUUUGAGCGUAGUUGAUCUCUGCAUUAUCAGGACGGUUGAGAAAAGAAUGAGAAGGCGUUAAGUUGCACAUACUGUACUGUGUAAAUCUAUAGGUACCAAGCCCAAUAACAGCAAAUGAAAAAUAUUCUAACGACUCUACGGCCCAAUAUUACAUCACCAUGGAUCAUUUUUGGUUAUCAUUUUCAUGAAACCUUUUGAAACUGAUUCAAUUAUCCACUCACCCACCAUAGUAAAUACGGGAAUAUCCAUUACACACCUGCAUCAUAAAUUCAGCAGAACCCCAUUAAAUGCAAAUGAAAGCAUGAUUAUAUCUACAAAAAACAAAAAGAAUUCCCAACUACACACUUAUAUAUAUAAAUCUAUCCUCAUUUAGCAUUUUCAACUAAAAAAAUUAGAAAUAAAAAUAUUCUGGGUUUUUAUAUAAAAACAAUGUUGAUUUCGAACACAAUCAAGACCCUAGUGUGUUAUAACAAAAAACUUCUUAACCAAUUUCAUUACUUACACGAUCAAUGCUUGUCUUGGCUCCAAGCUUUGUAAAUCAAGAAGAUCAAAACUUCUCCAGCAUCACAUUCGUUCAGACUAAUUUGUUUGUUUGAUGGAUCAUGUUUAUCUCUUACAACUAUUCACACAUAUAAACUAAUAUUAGAAAAAGUAAUGAUGCCUUUUGCAUUAAUUGUGACAUGAGUCAUGUCUAAACUUUUUGGGCAUUAAAUACUGAUGUCUCAUUGUUUUUUAAUGUUAUUAAUCCCUAUUUUACUGUGCAGCCGCAGAAAUUAAAACGAAAAUAUAUUGCCUAACCGGAACAGUGUACGUAACUAAACCGCAUAACUAAACCGUACAGUGAACAGUACAUCGUUACGCUGGCAGGAGUAAAAUGGUCAGAAUUUGGCUAAAGUGUCAAAAUUUGAGAACUAAUUCUCACUUUGCCAAACCAUGAAAAUAAAAGUUGGUCUUCUGCCCUGCCAUGCAAUUUACCCAAUUUAGAAAGCGUUAUAUAUAGGUCCCAAGCCCAAUAACAGCGGUAGAAAAAUAUUCUAACGGGUCUAUGGCCCAAUAACACAUCAUCAUGGAUCAUUUGGUUAUCAUUUUUAUGAAACCUUUAGCUUCUGAAACUGAUUCAAAACUCUUUUAGAUUUUGAUAAAUGUCUAUGUAUAUUUUUAUAAAGAUUUUAAAUACUGAAAAGACGAAGAGGGAUUGGUGAACUCGUGGUUAUUCAAGAUUCUCUUGAUAUUUUCACGUUAAAUUUUGCAAAAGAUACUCUCAUUGUACAAGCUUCAUUGGUGCAUUGGCAUAUCUCAGAUCAGUGAAUAGUGAUAGUGUUGAUGGGUUCUCAAGAAGGUAUAUGAAGUUAGGAAGAAGAUAUGGAAUUCUUAUGAAUUGAAAGGAAACUAUUCUUACCAAAAAAACACAUGCUACUGUGUUUCAGAAUUACGUUCAGUUGUGUUUGAUUGACUCAAAGUAGACAGUUUGCGAUGUUCGUUUCAUGACUGCAUAGUGUUUAGUGUGACAAUCGGUUUUGUUUCCACAUUACUACUUUUAUUCUCAUGUUGGUUUUUUUUUUUCCUGCACGGUUUAAAGAAUUGCUAUUAUUAUUAUCAACUAGUUGAAUUAGAAAGAAGAACUGAUGAUGUGUAUACGACCGGUCAAUGAACUCCUCAUUGUGUGUAUAGUUACGCCACUUAAUUAGCUUUUUGGCAAUUAUGCACUCGAUAGGAUAGUGACCUUUACAUGUGCACUAAAACAUAAUCAAAGUCAGAACGUUAACAAAGCUAAACUGACAUCCCAACAACAUCGUUGUACACUCUAACAUCAAAUGCCUUAAUAGUUACACUUAUGUCGGACACUAAGUUUAUGUUAUCAUCAACGUACAAGUGAACUAUGAACUUUUUAUAUUUCGGAAUUUAUUUAUAAGAUGACAGUAAACAGAGCAAGGCCGAGGGAGAAACCAUGAGGAAGGCAAGAAUCAAGAGGGAAGAAACCAUUGAGCAUCCUUGACGUUAAAGUUGGAGAGAGUGUGGCGGUGUUUGAUGGUCUUUGUUGUAAGAUUGAAGACACAGAUGUCGGGGCGUGAAGGAUUCCUGUGACGGAUACGAUCACCACGGGUGAAAUAGAUGGAGUUAGGCUCAAUACCACGGGUAUGGUCAGCAGGCACGGUGGUUCCCAAAUCAAGAAAGAGGGCCUCAUCACCUAGAGAAUGUACCUCAAGAAGCCGGGUUAGGUAGGUAUUCGGGUCAAGAUCUUUAGGAUCUCUCUUGUACAGGUGGAACAUCCUAUCCCUUUGAGAGUUACCUAACUCGUAAGAAUAGACAACCAAAACCUGACCUGAUCUUGUAACAGCA
rnacentral:lncRNA from 1 species